AGUGAACGCUGGCGGUAGGCCUAACACAUGCAAGUCGAACGGCAGCACAGUAAGAGCUUGCUCUUACGGGUGGCGAGUGGCGGACGGGUGAGGAAUACAUCGGAAUCUACUUUUUCGUGGGGGAUAACGUAGGGAAACUUACGCUAAUACCGCAUACGACCUACGGGUGAAAGCAGGGGAUCUUCGGACCUUGCGCGAUUGAAUGAGCCGAUGUCGGAUUAGCUAGUUGGCGGGGUACAGGCCCACCAAGGCGACGAUCCGUAGCUGGUCUGAGAGGAUGAUCAGCCACACUGGAACUGAGACACGGUCCAGACUCCUACGGGAGGCAGCCGUGGGGAAUAUUGGACAAUGGGCGCAAGCCUGAUCCAGCCAUACCGCGUGGGUGAAGAAGGCCUUCGGGUUGUAAAGCCCUUUUGUUGGGAAAGAAAAGCAGCAGGUUAAUACCCCGCUGUUCUGACGGUACCCAAAGAAUAAGCACCGGCUAACUUCGUG
rnacentral:rRNA from 1 species